CCAGACUCCUACGGGAGGCAGCAGUGAGGAAUAUUGGUCAAUGGCCGUAAGGCUGAACCAGCCAAGUCGCGUGAAGGAAGAAGGAUCUAUGGUUUGUAAACUUCUUUUAUAGGGGAAUAAAGGUAUCCACGUGUGGAUAUUUGCAUGUACCCUAUGAAUAAGCAUCGGCUAACUCCGUGCCAGCAGCCGCGGUAAUACGGAGGAUGCGAGCGUUAUCCGGAUUUAUUGGGUUUAAAGGGUGCGUAGGUUGUUUUUUAAGUCAGCGGUGAAAGUUUGUGGCUCAACCAUAAAAUUGCCGUUGAAACUGGAAGACUUGAGUGUGUUUGAGGUAGGCGGAAUGCGUGGUGUAGCGGUGAAAUGCAUAGAUAUCACGCAGAACUCCGAUUGCGAAGGCAGCGCACCGGCGCCCUACUGACGCUCAGGCACGAAAGCGUGGGUAUCGAACAGGAUUAGAUACCCGAGUA
rnacentral:rRNA from 1 species